GACGAACGCUGGCGGCGUGCCUAAUACAUGCAAGUAGAACGCACAGUUUAUACCGUGGCUUGCUACACCAUAUACUGUGAGUUGCGAACGGGUGAGUAACGCGUAGGUAACCUGCCUGGUAGCGGGGGAUAACUAUUUGAAACGAUAGCUAAUACCGCAUAAUAUUAAUUAUUGCAUGAUAAUUAAUUGAAAGUUGCAAUUGCACCACUACCAGAUGGACCUGCGUUGUAUUAGCUAGUAGGUGAGGUAACGGCUCACCUAGGCGACGAUACAUAGCCGACCUGAGAGGGUGAUCGGCCACACUGGGACUGAGACACGGCCCAGAAUCCUACGGGAGGCAGAAGUAGGGAAUCUUCGGCAAUGGAAGAAAGUCUGACCGAGCAACGCCGCGUGAGUGAAGAAGGUUUUCGGAUCGUAAAGCUCUGUUGUAAGAGAAGAACGGGUGUGAGAGUGGCAAGUUCACACUGUGACGGUAUCUUACCAGAAAGGGACGGCUAACUACGUG
rnacentral:rRNA from 1 species